rnacentral:rRNA from 1 species
GGACUACCGGGGUUUCUAAUCCUGUUUGCUCCCCACGCUUUCGCACCUCAGCGUCAGUAUCGGGCCAGUGAGCCGCCUUCGCCACUGGUGUUCUUGCGAAUAUCUACGAAUUUCACCUCUACACUCGCAGUUCCACUCACCUCUCCCGAACUCAAGGUCCCCAGUAUCGAAGGCAGUUCUGGAGUUAAGCUCCAGGAUUUCACCACCGACUUAAGGAUCCGCCUACGUGCGCUUUACGCCCAGUAAUUCCGAGCAACGCUAGCCCCCUUCGUAUUACCGCGGCGGCUGGCAC